ACUGUCAUAAAUUGACCAAUUGCCAAAAUAUUCUUUUCUACAACCGCACAUGUGUAAGAAAAACUAAACAAAUAGAUGUUUACUUGUCAUUGACACCUGUAACCUUUGUUCUAGACUACGUGUUAUUUUUAGCAGAAAGAUUACGUAAUGGUUGCAUCAUUGUCUUUCAAGAUUGUACUAGAAAAUUCAUUCCUAUUAUAAAUGUACUGAAAUUCUUAUGAUAAAAAAGCUCUGGUUAGACAUUUUUAUGCACUCUGGAUUAUUAUACUGGGAAUUAUGAUUUUGGACUUACUAUAUUUGUGUGUGUAGAUUCUGUUUGGAUUUAUUAUUCAACUACCGUUUUGCCCCUGUUUCUUUUUCUACCUCGGUGGAACGCUUCCAUCCAUUUGGCUUCUGGAGUUGGAUAGACGGGAGCGCUACGUUGCCGUCAAACAAGGAGUGAAUAACGCCACAGCCUCUGACUCACUGUCUGAGAUUUAUCCUGGGGUCUCUAUUCCUAUUUAUUUACCUGCAGACACCUGGGUUUUGUUGAUUGAACAAUUUCUACUUUACUUCAUGAUUGUUGGAAGAUGGCUUUUACCGCGAGGAACUAUUUCACGAAAUGAGCUUUCCCAGUUGUUGUUCGUCUUCAUCGGAAUAGCCUCAGACAUCACGGAGUUUUUCACCUUAUUUGAUGAGGAUGUUGUUCGAAAAAAUCUUGAAUUGACGUACGCUAUAUUGGUUAUCUGGUCUGUCAGCUUGAUGCAGUUCUGUUUCGUUUUGACUGCGACGAAGAGCUCGAAUAAGCCCAGGGUGGCACUACACAGUACGGAUGAAGAAUCGGUAGAAAACUCUCAAACACGAAUAAAAAGAGGAAAAUGUGAAAAGUGUGUUUCAAGUGAGGUGUGGAGUACAAUGGUAACGAUGUGUAUGCAAGACGGUCCAUUCUUGACCAUUAGAUUGUUCGUCAUUAUCACGUACCAUCUUGUCAACUACGCAAUUAUUUUCUUCACUGCUAAAAACGCUUUGGUGAUGCUGUUGUUAGUUUACCGUUUGAUUGUCAUCUGUGGUCAGAAAAAUCCCGAUAACGACCGAUCAAGUGCAGAAUUUGAUAUUUAUGUCACAGAUCCGAUCGCUAAUUCGAAUCAUUCCAUGGCUUCAUCAUCGCAUUCUAAAACCGGAAAACCAGAUUACGUUGAAAAAGAAAACGCACCGAGAUGCAAUAACGAUAGGAAGCAUCGCAAUAAUAAUGGACAAAAAUACAAAACCGGAAAAACCAUCGGUACAAGUCAAAUGUAGCAAUGAAGAGAUUGUGUAUCAAAUUGGUGUCAUUGUUUCUGAUACUUUAUUCUCAAACUCCCCGCCGAGGCCUCAUUACGUCACCUACGUAUAGACCUCUGCUAUGUGACGCAAUACAAUAUACAGAUUUGUAUAUUGCGAGUCCGCGAUUAUCACGCGGGCAAAUAACACUAAAGAAGUAGUUCCUAUUUAAAAGUUUGAAGAUAUUGACAUUAAGAGCAUUGAUAUAAAAGUAUGGAUUUUAUUUUAAACAUAAAAUUAUCUAAAGAUCAUUAAAAAGUAGUGAAACUCUGUUCAAAUUAUUGUGUAAAGUAAUGAACUUGAUGUUUACGUUCUUGUUUUGAAAGUUGUUUACGUUUGACGGUAUGUUUUUUCGUCAUUCUACAGUGACGUUACACAGUAUACUUGACCUAAGAAAUCGCUAUCCCAUAAUGCCUAACUGGAAGAGUUUGGUUUGUGACCAAACGAACUCUGGCGGAAUGUUGACUUUAUUCUAUCAUUGGAAAUAGCAUUACUAAAUCCCUCAUAUGACUCUAUGUGUAUGUUUUCAUCUGUUGAAAAGUACUGUUACCGUAUUGUCUGACCAGAAAAUUUAAGAGGUUAUUUUGUCAUAAUAGUUAAGUAAUGUAUUAAUUUUAUUAUAUUAUUGAUAUGAAAAUAGCAACUCUUACGUGUAUAAAUAAAGUGUGUGGCAUUUA